AUUGUUUUGCUCUCCUCACUUUUAUCCAAUCCCAUAUACCCAAAAUCCCUAAAUUUCCCCCCUAAACGUAAAUCCCCCAAAUCAUUCAUUCCCCCAAAUCAGUUUGUUUUUCCCUAAACUUUAAACCUAAAUCCUCCCCUAAAUCCCCAGUACACGAAAUCCCUUUCUUUUUUUCCCCAUUUUAUUUUCCCCAAAUCCCCUUCCCCUAAGUCCCUAACAUUUUCCCCAAAUAUUUUCCCCCAAAUCAGUUCCCCCAUCCCCGAAAUAUUUUUUCCCCAAAUCGCCUUCAGCACCCCUUUGCAUUGUCGUCGGCAGCCCUCUGCUGCUUCGCCUUACUUCAAGAACUACGAAAUGGAUAAGAGUUGGAUGAAUUUGUCAAGUGUAAGCAAUGACUAUUGAAAUGGUGUACAAACGUUUCUAAAUUUUGCAUUUCAAAAUGCAAGCCAAGAGAAUAUGAUUCUUUGCCCAUGUAAGAAGUGUGGCAACAUCAAUUGGCAUUUUCGUGAAGUUGUCUAUGAACAUCUAAUUGUUGAUGGCUUUAUUUGGAGGUAUAAAACAUGGAUUUUUCAUGGAAAGUGUACACCUUGUAGAACCUCUUCAACAAUUAAUCCAGCCUAUCCUCAUAGUGCUUACCAUCAGUAUUUUAGAGAAGAUGACAUGGAAUGUAUGUUGCAGGAUGCAUUUAAUAUGCGUAGUUAUGGUUUGCAAUCGUUUCCACUUGACUUUAUUGUAUCCGAUGAUUGUAAUCUUGGUGGAAAUGUUUUUACCAAAACGGGAAGAAGUGUACUUGAUGAAGGGCCAAAUGGAGAAGCGGUGAAGUUCUACAAGUUACUUAAUGAAAUGAAUGAAGAACUUUAUCAGCGAUCAAAAUAUUCAAAAAUGUCCUUUUGUAUUCUUUUUUUCACUUAAAAUGUUUGAGAGGGUGGACGGGAAACUCUUUUACAAUGCUGUUAGAGUUUUUGAGAGAUAUGUUUUCAUUUGCAAAAAUCUUAUUCAUGCAAAGAUAUAAAGAAACUAAUAAAAGAUUUAGGCCUUAAGUACGAAAAAGAAUUCAUAGUUUCCUAAA